UGCGGAUUUGGGAGUGGUGCCACUGUUACUGCUGGGCGGGGCGGCCCUGAGUGCCGGUGGAGCGCACAGACGCGGUAACGCCUGGCGGGAGGUUCUGGGGGCUUUGCGGAGUUUUAGUCCCCUCAGGAUGCGAGGCUUAUAAACCUGGUAGCGCCUGGGCCCUCCCAGGGCUGCUUCCCGGUGGGAGAAGAGGUGUGAGGUGUCCCCACACGUCGCCCUUUCCCCCCCCGGCUCCUUUUAGGAGCGGGUUUUCCUGAAGCGGUGGCGGCCCCGGGCGGCUCUGCCUCUGCCCGCUGGCGGGGAGCGGUGUGGCACCGGAGGGGUGGCCUCUAGGUGGGGGCAACACCAGCGGCGUGCGGGGGGCCUCUGCCGUACCGCCUGACCGGGCCCCGCUCGUCCCGGCUGUGCUUCGGCUGUAACCAUCGCGAGGGGGUGGCAGCAUCCCAAGCGGCGAGUACCCGAACGCAGUGUUUAAAGGUUGGGGUUUUACAGGUGAAUAAAUCCUUACAAAUUAUGUCAGAAGUCAUCCUUCCCAAGAUGAUUAUUCAAAGGACUUUGAAGCUCUAAAUAGAUCCAAAAAAAAUCGGAAGGUGUCUAUAUGUUGGAGAUAAGCAAGCUUAUUUCUGGUGACUUCUACGUUGGUGUGUCCAGUAUGACUGCACCGGGGUGGUUGUAGAAAGAAGCUAUACCUGCAGUGUUACCAACAGAUGCAGAAAGAAUGAGAUGCCUUCUGACUCUCAUUGUUGCCAUCAGCAAGGAGAAAAAACUAAGCCUUGUUGAAUGAACUGGUACUUCAACUGAAGUUCAAGACACAAUGUGUCAUGAGGAUGCAAGGCCAUAUACAAGCAUUGCCACCCAUACCUCAAGUAAAACUCCACCUCUUCUGCUGCCAAGCAGGUUUGCUGUCUUCAGCCAGUCACUCCUUCCUCAGGUUAAACCUUCAUUUGGGUGAUAGACUGUCAGGGGCUCUUCUAAUGCUAUUUUCAGGACUGUCAGAUGCAAAGGCUAAUCUUCCACCUCUUUAGCACCUGCUAAAUGAUUUGGACUUCUGGGAUAUUCUUGACAUCAACCUGCAAAAUGGCCACUGCUUGGAGGGACACCUGGCCUCUUGCCAGUGCCAGCUAUUCAUGUUAAACCAGUACAGCACCAAUGGGGAGCUUAACUAAGAAGACACUGCUGACACCAUUGGCAAUAGUGGAAGUCCUGUAACCACGCAUGCAUUGCACCUUCUGUCACACUCCAGCCUGUGAGAACUUCUGAAAAAUUUAAGAAGGCUUUUCUAAUUAAACAAAUGUUCAUGAAUGUCACUGUUGUACUUUUGUAAUAUUAAAUUAAAAGCUGGUAAACAGUCAAAAUAAAGCUACCAGUUUUA